rnacentral:rRNA from 1 species
CCUCGGAGAGUUUGAUCCUGGCUCAGGACGAACGCUGGCGGCGUGCCUAAUACAUGCAAGUCGAGCGAACAGAAGG